UCUCUUGUGGCUUAGCUGGUAAAGCAUUUGCCUGCAAUGCAGGAGACCUGGGUUCAAGCCCUGGGUUGGGAA
rfam:Ovis aries breed Texel chromosome 4, whole genome shotgun sequence.